rnacentral:lncRNA from 1 species
AAAAAGAAAAAAAUCUGGCUCCUAAAAAUUCAGAAAAUAAGAAAGCUGCGCAUUGGUCCGCGCGUACACUUCACGCUCUAAAUGCUCUAUAAAUACAGUCCCUCCAUCACCGCUCGGGAGAAUUAUCGUGAGUUCGUAGCAAGAAUCUAUCCGAAUACAGGACGAAGCAAAAUUGUAAGGUAAGCUUCGUAUUUAUCCUAUUGCAUGUAUUUAAUUUUUUUUUUCUUUUUUCAAUUACGUUUUCCCAAAAUUGCAUCUAGGGUUUCGGUUUUCGUUUUCUGUUUGACGAUUGUUGAUGGGUUAGUCUCCACGGCACAGAUCGAG